UAGCAAGGUAUGUAUGCCUGUAUGGAAUAGUGGAUAAAGUAAAGGAAUAGCCAGUUAGCAAGUGAGUAUGCUGCACGAGAUAUAAGUUUUUAAUAGUUUUUUAAACCAUGACUUUAGAGGAGAUGUGCUGGCUCAGUUGAACCCUGGGAGAGAAGGAUGAACGAUUUAUUUGCAUGAGACUGUUGGCAGUUCUUCUUUGUUC
rnacentral:lncRNA from 1 species